GAUGAUUGCGAUGAUGAUAUUUAAGCUCCCUCUUCUGAUUAAGGUUGAGGAAAAUCGCUGGCAGAAUCGAACCUAAAACCUUAAAUUGCCACCACUGAGUAA
rfam:Morus notabilis contig23612, whole genome shotgun sequence.